AUGAACGCUGGCGGCGUGCCUAAUACAUGCAAGUCGAGCGAACAGACGAGGAGCUUGCUCCUCUGACGUUAGCGGCGGACGGGUGAGUAACACGUGGAUAACCUACCUAUAAGACUGGGAUAACUUCGGGAAACCGGAGCUAAUACCGGAUAAUAUAUUGAACCGCAUGGUUCAAUAGUGAAAGACGGUUUUGCUGUCACUUAUAGAUGGAUCCGCGCCGCAUUAGCUAGUUGGUAAGGUAACGGCUUACCAAGGCGACGAUGCGUAGCCGACCUGAGAGGGUGAUCGGCCACACUGGAACUGAGACACGGUCCAGACUCCUACGGGAGGCAGCAGUAGGGAAUCUUCGGCAAUGGGCGAAAGCCUGACGGAGCAACGCCGCGUGAGUGAUGAAGGUCUUCGGAUCGUAAAACUCUGUUAUUAGGGAAGAACAAAUGUGUAAGUAACUAUGCACGUCUUGACGGUACCUAAUCAGAAAGCCACGGCUAACUACGUG
rnacentral:rRNA from 1 species